rnacentral:rRNA from 1 species
GACGAACGCUGGCGGCGUGCCUAAUACAUGCAAGUCGAACGCAGUGGGGACGGGUGAGUAACACGUGGGUAACCUCCCAUCAGAGGGGAUAACACUUGGAAACAGGUGCUAAACCGAUACUGAUGGAUGGACCCGCGGUGCAUUAGCUAGUUGGUGAGGUAACGGCUCACCAAGGCCACGAUGCAUAGUCAACCUGAGAGGGUGAUCGGACACAUUGGGACUGAGACACGGCCGAGACGCCUAAUGGGGGCAAGAGUAGGGAAGAUUCGGCAAUGGACGGAAGUCUAACCAAGCAACGCCGCGUGAUUGAAGAAGAUUUUCGGAUCGUAAAACUCUGUAAUUAGGGAAGCGGUAUCUAACCAGGAAGCCACGGCUAACUACGUGCCAGCAGCCGCGGUAAUAC